rnacentral:rRNA from 1 species
UAGGGAAUCUUCCACAAUGGGCGCAAGCCUGAUGGAGCAACACCGCGUGAGUGAAGAAGGUUUUCGGAUCGUAAAACUCUGUUGGUAGAGAAGAACGUUGGUGAGAGUGGAAAGCUCAUCAAGUGACGGUAACUACCCAGAAAGGGACGGCUAACUACGUUCCAG